rnacentral:rRNA from 1 species
GAUGAACGCUGGCGGCGUGCCUAAUACAUGCAAGUCGAGCGAACGGACGAGAAGCUUGCUUCUCUGAUGUUAGCGGCGGACGGGUGAGUAACACGUGGAUAACCUCCCUAUAAGACUGGGAUACCUUCGGGAAACCGGGGCUAUUCCCCGUUAAUAUUUUGAACCACAUCGUUCAACCUUGAAACCCGGUCUUGCUGUCACUUCUAGUUUCAUCCUCGCUUCAUUAGCUAGUUGGUAAGGUAACGGCUUACCAAGGCAACGAUGCAUAGCCGACCUGAGAGGGUGAUCGGCCACACUGGAACUGAGACACGGUCCAGACUCCUACGGGAGGCAGCAGUAGGGAAUCUUGCGCAAUGGGCGAAAGCCUGACGGAGCAACGCCGCGUGAGUGAUGAAGGUCUUCGGAUCGUAAAACGCUGUUAUACGGGAAGAAAAGAUGUGGAAGAAAAUGUGCACAUCAUGACGGUACCUAAUCAGAAAGCCACGGCUAACUACGUG